UACGGGGGGGGCAAGCGUUGUUCGGAAUUACUGGGCGUAAAGGGUGCGUAGGCGGCUUUCUAAGUUGGAUGUGAAAACUCUGGGCUCAACCCCAGAGCCUGCAUCCAAAACUGGAGAGCUAGGGUUCUGGAGGGGAAAGCGGAAUUCCUGGUGUAGCGGUGAAAUGCGUAGAUAUCAGGAGGAACACCGGUGGCGAAGGCGGCUUUCUGGACAGAUACCGACGCUGAGGCACGAAAGCUAGGGGAGCAAACAGG
rnacentral:rRNA from 1 species